GGGUGUGAUCAUACCAGCACUAAUGUACCGGAUUCCAUUAGAACUCCGCAGAUAAGCGAGCUUGGGCGAGAGUAGUACUAGAAUGGGUGACCCCUAGGAAGUCCUCGUGUCGCACUCC